rnacentral:rRNA from 1 species
CAGCAGCCGCGGUAAUACGUAGGGGGCGAGCGUUGUCCGGAAUCAUUGGGCGUAAAGCGCGUGUAGGCGGCUUGGCAAGUCUGGUGUGAAAGCUCGAGGCUCAACCUCGAGUCUGCACCGGAAACUGCCUUGCUAGAGUCCGGAAGAGGAGACUGGAAUUCCUGGUGUAGCGGUGAAAUGCGCAGAUAUCAGGAAGAACACCGGUGGCGAAGGCGGGUCUCUGGGACGGUACUGACGCUGAGACGCGAAAGCGUGGGGAGCAAACAGGAUUAGAUACCCUGGUAGUCCACGCCGUAAACGAUGGGCACUAGGUGUGGGAGGUGUCGACUCCUUCCGUGCCGAAGCUAACGCAUUAAGUGCCCCGCCUGGGGAGUACGGCCGCAAGGCUAAAACUCAAAGGAAUUGACGGGGCCCCGCACAAGCAGCGGAGCAUGUGGUUCAAUUCGACGCAACGCGAAGAACCUUACCUGGGCUUGACAUGUUCUCGUAACUCCUGGAAACAGGAGCCCUCUUCGGAGCGGGAUCACAGGAGGUGCAUGGCC